rnacentral:tRNA from 1 species
CAAAGCGUAGCUUAAAUAAAAGCAUCUCGCUUACACCGAGAAAAUGCCUGUUAAACUCAGGCCACUUUGA